rnacentral:lncRNA from 1 species
ACUAUUCCCCAAGGUCGAGUAACCUUUACUUAUAUACAAUUCAUAAACUAUCUAACAAAUAACAUAUUAUACAACUAUACUAUUACAAACUAGCCACACAAUUUAUCCCAAGCUGUACUUGGCAUUAUCUUUUCUAUCGAUGAUUCAUUUGUUUAAGAAUCAUAUCUAUUCUUAUUUCAAUAUAAUCCUUCUUUAUCUAUUCAACAAUUUAAACUAUACAUAGUUGGAAAUUACAUUUGAUAAAACUAUCAAUCAUAGAUCUAUACCAUUUCUAAAUCAAGAAAAUGUAUCCAUUUUAUGCAUCGCUCAAUCUUCAUCAUCCGCAUAGUAAAUAAUAUUGUCUAACGUCAUUAACCUGCAAAAAGUUUAUGUUUGCAAGAUUGAGCUCGACAGCCCAGCAAAUUUAACAGUCUAUCAUGUUUCACAUAGCACACAAUUCCAUAUGCACUACAUUUCCUUUAAUAUGCAUAUCAUCAUGCAUCAUAUAUUCUUUACUAUGCAUAUACUACAUGCAUCAAUAAUUCCUUACAAAACAUUCAUUCGUGCAUUAUACAUUUCUAAUUUAUUAAGUUACAUCAUACAACAUGUAAUCACAUAUAGAUUGAGUUCCAUAACCCAAUUAACUUAGUCAUAUUUUGACUUUUAAUAAUUCAUAGAGCAUGAUACGUAAUUUAACACAUAAUUAC